rnacentral:tRNA from 1 species
UCCUUGGUAGUUCAGUAGGUAGAGAAUCUGCCUGCAGUGCAGCAGACCCAGGUUCAAUCCCUGGGUCAGGAA